GAUUUAAAUUUUUAUUGACAUGAGGAUUUUAAAAAUAAUUGUAUGUUUUAGUAAUGGUUUGAAAAAAUUUAUUUAAUUAUAGAUUAAUAGUACAGUGAAGGGAUAUUUUAAAUAUUUAGAAGAAUAUCUUAUUUAUAGUACCUUUUGUAUCAGGGUUUAUUAAAAGGGGCCUUAAAAUAGGGUUUUCUCGAAUUUAUGAGAGCUAAAAAUAUAUAAAUAUUAAUGUGGAAUAAUUAUUUAUAAUAUGUUUUUUGUAAUUAGACGUUAGUCGUGCUUAAAUAUAUCUAGUUUUUCAAGAAAUUAAUUUAAUUAAGCUUGUCUAUAGGGUUAUUUUUUUAGUAAAUUAAUCCUUAGGCUAUGUAAUAUCUAAGGGGAUAAGCUUUUGGAUAGAUUUUUAGAAGUAAAAUUUCGUUUGAAGUUAAAUAGGAAUAGAAGUUUUCAUUUUUUGUAGUGUUUUAUAGCUAGGUUUCAGGGGAGAUAAUUUAUUUAAUUUUAGGUUUUUUAUUGUAAUAUUAAAUUGAAUAGGGUAUUUUAAGAAAUAAUGAUGGAAUGAGUAUAAUUUAUACGUAGUUUGUUUAAUAAUUGAGAGGUUUAGCUAAGUAAUUCGGCAAAUUUAUUUUCUGCCUGUUUAUUAAAAACAUGGCCUUUUGGGAAUUAUUUAAGGUCUGGCCUGCCCUAUGAUUAAUUAAAUGGCCGCGGUACUUUGACCGUGCAAAGGUAGCAUAAUCAUUAGUUUCUUAAUUAGAAGCUUGAAUGAACGGUCGGACAAGAAAAUUGCUGUCUCAGUUGAAUGGUUUUAGAAUUUUAUUUUUUAGUUAGAAAGCUUAAAUGUUUUUAGGGGACGAGAAGACCCUAUAGAAUUUUAUAAAUUUUCUUAUGUUAGGUUUUUAGUUGAUUUUUUUUGAUUUUGGGGAAUUUAUUUUGUUGGGGUGAUGGAAAAAUUUAGUUAACUUUUUUUUUAUUAAUACCACUUAUUGGUGUUUAAGUGAUCCGUUUUUUACGAUUAAAAGAUUAAAUUACCUUAGGGAUAACAGCGUAAUUAAUUUGGAGAGUUCUUAUCGAUAAAUUAGUUUGCGACCUCGAUGUUGGAUUAAAAUUUAUUUUUGGUGUAGUAGCUGAAAAACUAAGUCUGUUCGACUUUUAAAAUUUUACAUGAUCUGAGUUUAAACCGGUGUGAGCCAGGUUGGUUUCUAUCUUUAGGAAAGGCGAAUGUUUUAGUACGAAAGGACCAAACAUUUAUUUGAUAAAUUUAGAUUAGAAUAUU
rnacentral:rRNA from 1 species